CAUUCUUCUCUCUAGAUUUCUUCCUCAACUGACCCAUUUAUUCCACAAUCAGUGAAUACUUAGGAAAUUCUAGAAUUGUGGGCUUCAUUUCAACAGAUCAUUUGGUCGUUCUUCAUCUGGUAAGUUUCCCCCAAAUCUCUCCGCGCUUCUGUUAGUUGUGAUCAUGCAAAGUUCUGCCCUUGCAUGUGUUUAACAACUAUUUUUCCCAAAUUCUUGACUCAAGUGAAGUCUAAGAAACUGUUCUUCAUCAUAAAUUGAUUAUCUGUAGGUGGGCUAGCAUUUCCGUAAAGAGCAAGUGAGCUANAAAGGGGUUUUGGGUUACUGCACUACUUGGACAGAGGUAAGGGGAGCUGGGGUUUUUAUUCGUGAUUCAGUGAGUUAGAAGAUGCAUGAACUAGGGCCUGUUUAAAUUUGUGAAAUUUUGUAUGUGUGAAAUUGUCUCUGUGUGUUGAAAUUAUUUGAGCUAAAUUUGAUAAUUUUUAUAUGCUAGGAUAUGUGCCUUUAAAUUGACCAAACUGUGAAAUUAUACUGUACUGCAAUGAAUUGAAUAAGAUGUGUUUGUUUGUUUU
rnacentral:lncRNA from 1 species